AGCGAACGCUGGCGGCAUGCUUAACACAUGCAGUCGCACGGGCAGCAAUGUCAGUGGCGGACGGGUGAGUAACGCGUAGGAACGUGUCCUGAGGUGGGGGACAACCCCGGGAAACUGGGGCUAAUACCGCAUAUGGGCUGAGGCCCAAAGCCGAGAGGCGCCUUUGGAGCGGCCUGCGUCCGAUUAGGUAGUUGGUGGGGUAAAGGCCUACCAAGCCUGCGAUCGGUAGCUGGUCUGAGAGGACGACCAGCCACACUGGGACUGAGACACGGCCCAGACUCCUACGGGAGGCAGCAGUGGGGAAUAUUGGACAAUGGGCGAAAGCCUGAUCCAGCAAUGCCGCGUGGGUGAAGAAGGUCUUCGGAUCGUAAAGCCCUUUCGACGGGGACGAUGAUGACGGUACCCGUAGAAGAAGCCCCGGCUAACUUCGUG
rnacentral:rRNA from 1 species